rnacentral:rRNA from 1 species
GACGAACCGAGCGAACGUUGUUCGGAAUUACUGGGCGUAAAGGGCGCGUAGGCGGUCUGCUAAGUUGGAUGUGAAAACUCUGGGCUUAACCCAGAGCCUGCAUUCAAUACUGACAGGCUAGAGUUCUGGAGGGGAUAGCGGAAUUCCUGGCGUAGCGGUGAAAUGCGUAGAUAUCAGGAGGAACACCGGUGGCGAAGGCGGCUAUCUGGACAGAGUCUGACGCUGAGGCGCGAAAGCUAGGGGAGCAAACAGG